CCCUUAGAUGUCCGGGGCCGCACGCGCGCUACACUGAAGGAAUCAGCGUGGCUUUCUCCCUGACCCGAAAGGGUUGGGAAACCCGUUGAAUCUCCUUCGUGAUAGGGAUUGGGGCUUGAAAUUGUUCCCCAUGAACGAGGAAUUCCCAGUAAGCGCGAGUCAUAAGCUCGCGUUGAUUACGUCCCUGCCCUUUGUACACACCGCCCGUCGCUACUACCGAUUGAGUGAUCCGGUGAAUAAUUCGGACUGCAGCAGUGUUCAGUUCCUGAACGUUGCAGCGGAAAGUUUAGUGAACCUUAUCACUUAGAGGAAGGAGAAGUCGUAACA
rnacentral:rRNA from 1 species